UACGUAGGGUGCGAGCGUUAAUCGGAAUUACUGGGCGUAAAGCGUGCGCAGGCGGUUUUGUAAGCCAGAUGUGAAAGCCCCGGGCUCAACCUGGGAAUGGCAUUUGGGACUGCAAGGCUUGAGUGCGGCAGAGGAGACUGGAAUUCCUGGUGUAGCAGUGAAAUGCGUAGAGAUGCGGAGGAACACCUGUGGCGAAGGCGGCCCUCUGGACGGAUACUGACGCUGAGACGCGAAAGCGUGGGGAGCAAACAGG
rnacentral:rRNA from 1 species